ACUUUACGGCACGCCAGGCUGUUUAGUGCGUUCUCAUCUGCGCACUACGGUAGUGAGGGCCGCUUUCCACCUCCUACGUUAGGCGUUGUUUACGUUUUGUUAAUCAUUGUGACAGUCUGUUGAAACUGUGGUAUAUUUAACCCGACUAGAAACAGUAUCCCAGGGUGAGACGGCGCUGAUGAAACACAAGGGGGAGUACAUGCUGCUAUGGAAGCCUGAGUGUUUGUCAUUAUUUGAGACUUCUGGGAAUAAAAAGAGCGUGUCAAGCUGCAAAGUAGUUACGAAUUUUAUAAAGAAAAGGGGCAUUAUAUCUGUCAGUCAUGGAGAAGAAAUACCCAUUUUCUGAAAGCCGUAAGCGGUCACUGGGAAGAUCUGAAAGACUGGAGGCUAAACGUAGGCACUUUCAUAUAAAUGACGCAGCAAGUGAAUCGGAUAAGGAUUCUGGCUUCUCAGACAAAAGAUUGUAGAGGACCUAAAACAUACAGAUGAGGAAGAAAUUGAAGGUGAAGAAAUGGAAAAGUGUUCUACGCUGUCUUAUGCAGAAACUUUUCAAGCUCUCGAAAUGGCAUUUACUUGGCUUGAGAGGCAGGAAUAAUUUGAUCCAAGACAGCUGC